rnacentral:lncRNA from 1 species
GUUCUGCAUGUCACAGAGGAAGUAGGCAUAUUUGAGGAAGACUUUCUCAAGGAUUUUUUUCAGAAGUUACACGGAAUAUGUCUGCCUCUCCUGUCUCACCUCCUUCACCUCUUCCACCUCUGCCACCCUGAGACAGCAAGAAAAACUCCACCCUUUUUUCCUCUUCCUGAGCCUAUCAACAUGAGGACAAUGGGAAUGAAGAUUUUAUGAUGAUCCACACCCACUAAGUGAAUAGGUCUCACCACUGCAGCCAUCAUCAAAAGUGGUUAUUACCAAGACUAGAUUGCAGCUCCGGACAGAGCAGCUGGCAGGGACUCAUAUUGUGAAUUGCAGCUCCAGCUCGACUGCAAGAACAAACCAGCAAUCCCGAGAGGACCCACAGACCCUCUAAAGGAAGUGGACUGCUCCUGCAGGACCUGGGAGACACCCCAAAUAUUAUCUAUAAACUCAAUUUUAGGAAGUCAAGUAUCUUCCCGAAAGUCACACAAGUAAAGAUGGACUUGGGUCUCUAAUCCAUUUGUUUGACUUCAAAACAUGUUAUCUCCAUUCCACUACCUCUUCUGUUCAGUGGAAUGAAAGAGGUUAAAACAGUUCACAGGGUCCAUGGAGUGAAUGAAAAAUGAAAAUGGGAAGAUAAAAUACAGAUUAUAGUUUUCAAGGAUUGGAGCUGGAAGGAGUUGCCUGUUUGAGAGCUGUGUUAAGGUCUGAGAAACAUGUGCAUGUUGUGCACUGCAAGAAAGGAAUCAAGAGGAAGGAGAGGAUGGAGAUAUAGAAGAUGAAAAUCAGCCAGAGUAACAAGGCUCCAGGAAAGCCACAUGGCUAUGUGCAUCCCUUAGAGAAACAAAUUGGAAAAAGGGAUGAGAAAACUGCUGCUCAGAACGUUAAAGGGACUUAUCCAAACUCAUGAGAUAAGUAAAAGGCAGAACAAAGUUUUAAAUCAGCUCUCACUGGUCCUAAAGCCUGUACUUAUUCCACAGUACUAUUGGAAAACAGAGGAGUGCCAAACAAGUGACUCACCUAAAUCAAUGCUGAAGACACACAGAAUAUUGAAGGAUCAACUCUACUUCUUCGAAAUAUACUUUAAUACUUUCACUGCCAAACCAGAGUUCAAGAAAUAACUGCGGUGGAAUGAUAAUGAGAAGUUUAACAGUUUUAUGAUGGUUGAAGCUGACUUUAUGAAAGUUGAUAAAUUUCAUCUUGUAGGUUUCAAUUUCUCAUUCCCUACCGAGAGAUGGGGAGAAUACAUUGACACUGCAUUUCAAAUUGGCUAGAUCAGAAGGAACAGCAGCUAAAAUCCAUUACAACCCAAUUACAUCCAUCAGCUGAAGCUGUGUGCAUUCACUUGUGAACAUCAGCAUUUAAUCCAUAAAGAGGAACUAAUGAGAAAUUUGAAAAUGGAAUCCACGCAUCAGUAAGUUUAGAGAGAUUUUUCUGGGAUUAAUGAUCUGCCAGAGCAUCUUCAGCAUUCUGGAAAGCUAUUCUCUCUGGGUUUGUUUACUGACCAAGAGAAAAAAAAAGGGGGUUUCCUUCUGUCUGCUCAUCAAAUAUUUGAAAGACUACUCAUUUCAGUCCUUGAAAAUGGGAUACCGUGAGCUUUGGAAGUAAGUUCUGAAGGGGUUGCUAUUUUUUGCAAGGUCAAGUCUGGGUCAAGUCUGGCUUCCUGAAACUAUAGCCUGGUGUUCCAUCCUAUAGAAAGGGGGAAAGAGAAAAUGGAUGUCAAGCAUAUGUUUCCAAAUAAGAAAGCCGAGUUAUAUGAAGAUAAGUAAAUUGACAGAGUCAGCUGGUACAUGAUCACGUGGGAUUUGAACGAUGGCAAUUACCCUCACAGCCACACUCUGACAUAAGGCUUCCAUCAGUGAACAGAUCAGUCCAUAUCUAUGAAGAAAUGUCUGAUACAUGAAAGGAGGAAAGGGACACUGUUGUGACCAAUGCUGAAGAACAGGCUAGAGACAGAAUCCUCAGAAUCAGUCUGAAAAUCAUGUGAUGGAAGACAGCAUUAGCGAAGGCAAUGUGCAUGAACCCAGUUUGCUUUUCUCUUGGCUACUGUUUUCAGCUAAGUGUGAACUCAGGACAUUUCCUGCAUUUAAAGGCAAAAGCCUGUCACUCCCAAAAAGAGCUCUCUGUACUGACCGGUUCACUAAUUCACUGCUGACUGGGCUUGUCUGGUAAGGGAACACAUUAAAUAUUUAAACCUCGUCCUUCCUCAGAUGCAGAGCAGCAAAGAUGAUUUUCCACGGAAUUUAGCAUUAAACUCAGGCAAUUUGUACAGCUGUGCAUAUAAAUGGCUUUUCACAUAAUCUCUAGAGGCUAGGGUCAAUGUUCCUCGUACAUUUUAAUACUGUAGAUGACAUAGCAACAUCCUCCUAAUUUAUGUUCCCUCAUAACUGAAAGAGGCUUAAUAAAAGUGAGGAAGAGGCAAUAUGUACACAGCAACAUCGAUUUCUGCUGACAGUUGAGCGGAAGUUAAUUGUAAUUUUAAUGUAAUUUGUUCCAUGGGUGAUGUUGAGCCUUAGAAUGUACCUAAAUCCAUUUUAAAAGAAAUUAUGCGUGUGCAUAUGUGUGUGUGUGUGUGUGUGUACCUGCAUUAUAACGUUAGAAUGACCCAAUUAUACAGUUGUCAUGAAAACACCAAAUAUAACUUGCCCAGAUGAAUAAUUAUUUUUCACACAGAUAUAUUUGUUUAAAUAAAUGGAAGCUGGGUCUGUAUUGCCAACACAGAAUUGCGCCCGAUUAGAUUUUGGGGUGACAUAGAUGUUAUGUUGUGUAAAAUAAAUGCAGACUUUGUUUGUCAGAGUAAGAGUGCAACACAGUCCUAAUUGCUAAAUUAAGCUUAUCUGCAUGAACUGUAGUUAAUAUUUAUUCUGAGUGAAACAGUUUUUUAUUAUUUUUUCAUUUAGUAGAGCAAGAACAUGCUAAUAGUUUUGUUGAUAAUUCAAACAUUUCCUGCUGUGGGUAAAAACAAAUGUAAAACGGAAGAAUGAUGGUGUUCCCCGGCUCUGAAAUUUGCUAAUUGCAGGGCUAUUCAAUUAUAGGUAAUAUCCUUUUAUUGCUAAUAAGAUUACCGUGUGUCAACACAACUGCAAUUCUGAAAUGGAAUUUGCCCAAUUUGCCUUGUAUGGAAUUUAAAACUGUUCUGCGUAAAAGACUUUAGAAAAUUAGCACUGAAAUAUGAAUGACAAAGAGAAGAAAUCAGUAAAAUAUCUAAUGUACUUAUUUUUUCCCAUGCAGAUGCUUUUAUUUUGGAACAGUUUCAAAUUGGGUAUUUUGUCACCAAAAAAGAAAAAUAAACAAAAGGCAGGAGUAUGAUCGAAUAUGUUGCCCCCUAAGUUAAAAAUUAUUUUAAAAGUUUAUGAUUCAUUUAAUACAUUUUAGUAUUUUCCAAAUCUCCCUCCAUGAGCCAGGAUUUAAUAUUGUGUUGGGUCCACAAUAAGCAAAGAAUGAAUGUAAGUUUAUGAAUCCGUAACACAGAUAAAGAAUCAAGAAGAUAGCCAAUCACCUGGCGGGGAGAAAAGAAUGUGUAAAUUGAGUAUUCCUGAAUUUUACUUCUGUGCAGUUAAAUCAGACUCUUAGAAUAUAGAGUACAAGAAUGUCCAUGUUGUACUGAUCCCCAUGUGCUUCUUAUAAACCUGGAGUUUGAGAACUACUGGGUUGAUGAGAUCAUUCCAAUGCCUGAGUAAUGGUGACAGUGCUUAUCUGGUGUCCCUAAGUCAUGGUCUUUGGCUACAAAGGCUGUAAAAUGGCUUUGGAUCUUCUCUUAAGGAAAAGACUAGUUAUCUGCUUCCUGCCAAACACAUGUGAACAGAGGCCUCCAGAAUGAUGAUUGUCUUUAAAUCAGAUAUUACUAAUGAUGCUAGCAGAUACAGGUGCUAGGCUCCUCUGGAUGUAGUAGGACCCUGUAAGAGUAUACAAGAAAGACUCCUUGGGAAGUCUCUCUUUCUUAAAAAAGCUUUCUAAAAACGUGACCUAUGAGCUGUGUGUGUCAGAAUAAUUUAGGAAGAUAUUAACAGUAUGUGUUCUGGAGUCUCAUGCCAGACCUGUUCAAUCAAAAUCACAGAGAAUGGAUCCAGAAAUCUGUAUGUCUUAACAUGUCAUAUCAAAACUACACCCUUACCUCCCCCCACCAAAAAAAAUUGGGUCACUGGCAUUUGGUGAUGUUAGGAGAGAACUUUCUUCACUUUUCCCAGGAUUUAGGACUAACCAAGGUGAGCAAUUAUCUCAAUUUGCCUGGCUUUUCCAAGUUUAACACUGAAAGUCUCAUGUCCUAGGAAACUGCUCAGUCCUGGGCUAAUCAGAACCGUUGGUCCCCUGAGAUCUAAUUUCACAUCUUGUUCUACCAUAUACUAAUUACAAUGCUUUGAGGGUGGCACUAAACCGUUUUAAGAUCCAAUUUCCUCAUCUGUAAAAUGGCUAUAAUAACCAUUUCACAGAGAUAUUGUGUGGAUUAAAUGAAAUUAGAUGUGAUUACAUAUAUGAAGCACCUAGCAAGCAGACAUUCCAUAAAUGUUAUUUCCUUUUUCUACCAUUGGAAAAGUUGUAUUUUCAAGCCCAAGGGGAGGAUCAUGUUACACACCACAAGACAGUGGAUGCCAUUUAAUUUAUUUCAUCUUAAAAAAAAGAGAGAAAGGGAGAUACUUUUUUGUCAGUAAAUAACAGGUUGUCACACAGUUUUCAGGCAGAUUUGUUUUUGAUUUUUUUCUUCAGUUUGCAAAUAUGCAAAUCAAGAGUCAUGAUUCACUUCAUUUCCAUGAAAAAUUAAUUCACUAUAAAAUUCUGGAUAUAAGCAAAAAAAAAGGAAAAAAGAUGAGUUCAAAAUACUGAGUCCUAAGUCCUAGAAUUUAGACAAGACAUUUGGAGUCAUAUAAAUCAAAGAAGGUAUUGCUUCUACAAUUUGAGUAGAUAUACGGACAAAGCCCUCAGGCCAGGCUAUGUUCCUACCACUGGCUUUAUUUUAUUUUAUUUUAAGAUGUAGUUUCACUCUUGUUGCCCAGGCUGGAGUGCAGGGCGCAAUCUUGACUCACUGCAACCUCUGCCUCCCAAGUUCAAGCAAUUCUCCUGCCUCAGCCUCCCAAGUAGCUGGGAUUACAGGCAUGCGCCACCACACCUGACUAAUUUUCUGUUUUUAGUGGAGACACAGUUUUGCCACGUUGGCCGGACUAGUUUUGAACCUCUGACCGCAGGUGAUCCACCUGCUUUGGCCUCCCAAAAUGCUGGGAUUAUAAGUGCGCCUGGCCUGGUUUUAAUAAGCUAUAUGCAUUUAGAUAUGUCUCAAUUUUUCUGGACCUUAGAUUUCACUUAUAGAAUGGAGGUUGGAAUAGUAUAUUGAAUUGGUAUCUAAAAUUCUUUCAAGUUUUAUGAUUCUAUUCCAGAUAAAUUAUUUUGCUUUGGUUUGAAUUAUCUUAGUAAAAGGGAGCUGGCUACUUUUAGGCAAUUGAUGUCAAAAUAGAAAGAUUAAUUUUAGACUGUUAUUUAUUUUGGAUCAAAAUCUUCUUUCUAUAACUUAUUCCUGCUAAUCUUAAAUCUCUCUUAGAAAAACACAGAAUAACUCUAUUUUCUUUUUCGUGGGCUUGUUCUUCAACUAUUUGAAAUGAAUGACCACAUUAAGCGUUGGCAAAUCAUAUUUCUAGCUCUGCCAGAAGUGGUAUUGACAUGGCCAUGUUUAACCAUGAUGGGCUUGAUUGAAGCUCUGAGGACUUCUCAGGCCAGGUGAGACUGUCCUAACCAAGCAUCAAAGUUGAUAAUUGAAUGAAAAGGUUCACCCUUACUUAUUAGUUAGCUUAUAAUACGAGGGUCAGAAUUUAAAGGUAAGAGUGAAUUAGAAGAAGAUUAAAUCGGCAGGAGCUCAAUCAUGGAAAGACUUUGGAACAGGUAAAUUUGGUGAGGAGGUGUCUGGGUAAAGGCUGAGAAACAGAGGUGUUUAAUUGAUAGCAAUAUCCUGAGUUGUAGUUGAGAGGAUAGAGGGCUUAAAUCUAGAUUAGAGAGAUCAUUCAUUUCUUCAGUCAUUAAUUCACCAAAUAUUUGAGUACUCACUAUGUGCCAGGCAUGAUUUGGGCCCUGGGAUAUUUCAGUGAGCCAAGAUAAGCCUAGCUCUUUCCAACAUGGCACAGGGUACCAAACUGACCACCUGUCAAAUGCCUCCUAUUAGUACAUUAAUGAUCUGAGAUUCCCUGUGCACGUUAAAACAUACAGAUUUCUGGAUCCAUUCUCGGUGUGGUUGGAUGGGUUUGACAAAGGACCCAGGAGCAUAGGAGCAUACGCUUUUUAAUAAUCUUCCUAGAUUAUUCUGAAACAUAAGGCCCACAGGUUACAUUUUUAUUAAGAUCAUUGUAAAAGGAGAGAUCAGAUUUCCCGAGGAAUUCGUCCUUUAUAUGCUUAAAGGGUCCUAAGAUAUCCUGAAGGGUCCAGACACCUAUAUCUAUGGAAGUAGUAUUUUCUACUUAUCAAUACAUGGCUUGUUCAAGGCACUGACAACCUGUUUCUCAUUCUACAUGUCCUGACAACUUCCUGAUUUCCACUGCAUGUUAGGGAUCUGGAGAUUGACUCUCACUUACCGAUGUUAUUCUUUAAGAAUAAAGCCCAGAAUUAUCCUUGGUGUCCUGGAUACAUUACAUCAGCCAGUGGGUAUAUUCACUUUGGCAGGGCAGUGAAUUUUUAUUGACACAAUCAAAGAAUACAUUGUUUGUCUUCUUUAGUGGAGUCAUGUUUUCAGCUUUUAUUGAUCUGAUAGUCAGAACCUUCACAUCCUUCAUAUAUUUCUCAACUGAAAUUGUGUCAUCCAAUCACCUGUGUGCUUUUGCAAGUCAGCUUCUUUACUCAGGGGCAAAACUGAAUCUCAGUCUCUAGUGAUUCCAUGUUUUGCUGCGUUGACACUUCCCCAAGGGCCAUGAACAGCCGCUUUAGGUUAUUCAAUCCCUUUUCUGAUUUCUAGAAUUAAUCCACUGGGCUUCUACCCUUGGAUAUUAACAGAAAUCCAAGUUUCAAUACCAUAAAGCAUAAUACAAAUGAUUAUCUCCCUACAAUUGUUUACAUUUACUGAUCAGAUCUUAACACCCAACCCUCCACCUUUUUCAAAUCCUUCAGUACUUUUUGGAAUCACUGUCACAAGCAUACUCCAUUCUGUUCUCAACCCCUUCUUUGAAUGAUCACUUUAUGUUCUUGCUUAACUAAAAUGUGGCUGCACUGAAAAUACAUCUCUAUAACCCCUUGAAUGGAGACUGUUUUUUCUUCUACACUUCCUAUAACUCAAGUGUCUUUUCUAUUCUGUAUGCCCACUUCAGAACCAUUUCUUUCCCUUCUCCUUUAAAACACUAGCUUUUUGUCAGGUUCAACCAUCAGACUUUUUUAGCUCCCACUUCCAUUACUGCCAUCUAUAGACACUUUUACCUCCUCCUCUCAUAAGAUACCUAGCUCUUGUCUCUCUUUCCACAGGUAUGACUUUUUUAAGAUUUCCUCAUGCAUAUUGAUGAUACAUACACCUCCUACAUUCUUAGAACCUUUAAAUAGUUGUUUCCAACAUUUUCCUCCUAUCUCUCUUGACCAUCCAGGAAUGAUCUUGUCGUUACCUAUAACUAUACUACUCCCAAAAUGUUAGUUUCAAAUAUUUCAAUCUUUAUCAACUUUUCUUCUUUCAGCUUACUUAGUUCAAUAUUUUUAUUCCAACCAUCCUCAAAACGCAUGAAAAUUUGUAUUCCAUUUGUCUUAAUACCUUUUCACUAUUGGUUAAUCAGUCCCAGUCAUAACUCUCAGGAGAACACCUGAAUAUGUAGUCCAGCUAUGUGAUCCCUUGCAGACCUUGUGAAUUCUCUAUUCUCUCUCUCCUGAAAUUCUAUUCACCUGGACUAUCCAGAAGCUUGAUUAAGCUCACUACCAUUUUAUUUUGUAUUUAUUAACAAGUAUCUCAAAAUUUAGAGAAGAGUCACUGCUCGGACUUACUUUACAUUUAUGUCCACUGUAUCAAAAGCAGUCUCCACAAUGAGACAGUUCUGCUAAACGUUCCUAUUAAAUUCACUUAGUCACUUUCUGAAGUAACAAUUUUAUGCCUUUUUGUCAGAUCUUUAGUAUCCACAGCCACAUAAUGUCUGAGCUGAUGACCUUGCAUACAAUAAAUAGAAUUAGAAGAUAAUUACUUCAACUGCACCAAAAAUUUGACUACCCUACUGUAUCACUUCCCUUAUUAUAGUUUCCCUUAUUGUAGUUUCUUUCAUUAUAGUAAAAAUGAUGUUCCUACUUAAGGCCAAGUUAGCUUUUGCCACAAAUUUAAUCCACUAUUACUAUCUUAAGAAUUUAAUUUCUGCAAUUAAACACUUUCUGUCCUGAAUCACCACAUUUCCACUCUUUCCUGGUUCUUUCAAAAUAUCUUUAAAAAUAUUUUUUCUUGCCCUCAUAUAACCUUGCAGUUAGAGUCCUAUUUCUCUGAUCCUUUUCAUGGAAGAAAAAUCAUGAAAGUAGUUUCUUAUAUUUGUAGUCUCCAUAUACUCCACCUUGCAUUUUAUUUUCCAACCAUUCCAAUUAGACUUUGGACCCCAUAACUGUAUGUAAAUAGUUCUUAACAAGCUCACUGUUAAUCUACAUCUUCCUAUAGCUAAUAGUUCUCCAUCACCUUGCAAGAGCCAUCUACAGUAUUUAAUGUAAUUGAUGAUUCUAUCCAUCUUGAAAUAUAUUUUUCUUUUUCUUCCAGGACACCUUGGCCUCCUGGUUUCGUUCUUACUUCACUAACUGUGGUUUUUAAAAUUUUCUUUCACAGUUCCAUGUUAAUAAUAUUUGUAUUUUGUUGAACUUUUAAGAUAACUCCAUCUGAAUAUUUCCCCAGCAUGCAAGUCUAACAUAACCAGCUAACAUAGCCAAAUAAUCACUACUAGAAUAUUUAAUAGGGGGCAGGCCUAGUAGCUCAUGCCUGUAUUGGGAGCCUGAGGCAGGAGGAUCAUUUGAGCCUAGGAGUUUGAGACCACCAUGGGCAGCAAAGUGAGAUUCUGUCUCUCAAAAAAAAAAAAAAAAAAAAAAAAAAGAGGGAAAAGAAAAGAAAGAGAAAAAGGAAAAAAAAAAUUAGCCGGGUAUGGUGGCACACACCUAUUGGCCCAGCUGCUCAGGAGGCUGAGGUGGGAGGAUUGCUUGAGCCCAGGGGAUUAAGCCAUGAUUGCAUCACUGCACUCCAGCCUGGGUGACACAGUGAGACUCUGUCUCAAAAAAAAUAUAUAUAUAUAUUUAUUAGAUAUCUCAAAUUGAACAUGGCCAAAGAAGAACCAUCAAUUGUUGUUUUCCAACUUAUUUCAAAGCAAUCCCAUUACCUCAAGAAAUGGUAAUGCCAUUACCACUUAGAUGCUCAGGCUACAAAUCUAGGUGUUAAUAAUUCUUGAUUCUUAUUUUUCUUUCAUAAUCUAGUCUCAAUCUAUUAGGUAAGUUCUGCCACCUCUUCUGACAAAAUAUAACAAAAUUCAACCAGUUCUCACUAUCUCUAUUGCUCUACAAUACUCCUCAAAGCCAUCAUUCCUUAUGGAACUCUAGCAAGAACCUCCCCUCAUAUCUCUCUGCAUCCACUCUCAUCAUCCUAUAGAUUAUUCUCCACAAAGCAGCCUUGGUGAUAUUUUCAAACGCAUGUCCUUAUUCAAUGUCAAACUCUGCAAUGGCCUUAUAUUACAUCUAGAAUGAAAUCUUACUGUAACCUACAAGGCCUUAUGUGAUCUGGCUUCCAUUUAUCUAUAUUCCUUCUCUCAGUUGUUCAAGAGACAACAUCACUUUGGCAUUCUUUCUGGACCUUGAACAUACCAAGGUCUUUUCCAUCGCAAAUGCUUUGCACUUACUGUUUCUUCUGAUUGAAUCAUUUUCUUCCUUCUACAUGUUUGCAUAGCUGCCUGCUUCUUAUUCAGGAUUUAAUGUAAAUAGAACCUUCUUACCAAAGGCCUUCUGUGGUCACUAUAGCUAAAGGAGACCUCUCAGUCGCUUGUUAUUACAUUACCUUAUUUUAUCCUUUUUAUUGACCUAAUCAGUUCCUGAAAUUAGCAUUCUUAGGUUUUUCUUAUUUGCUUUAUGUGUUCAUCACAUCCCUCACUUGCAUACUGAAACAUAAGUUUCUGAAAUAUUAUGUGCUGUAUUUCCAGGGCCUAAAAAAGCACCUGAAAAACAAUGAAUUUAAUACUUUUUGACAGCUGAACAAUCACAUUAGGAUGUUUUUGUUUUGUUUUUGAGAUAGCAUCUGGCUCUUUCACUCAGGCUGGAGUACAGUGGUGUGUUUAUGGUUCACUGAACCUCUAACUCUUGGCCUCAAGCUAUCCUCUCACCUCAGCUUCCUCAGUAGCUGGGACUACAGUGGCACACCAUCACACCUGGCUAAUUUCUUUUUAUUUUUUAUAGAAAUGGGGUCUCACUAUGUUGCCCAAUCUGGUCUCUAACUUCUGGACUCAAGCAGUCCUUCUGUCUUGGCCUCUCAAAGUGCUGGGAUUAUAGGCAUGAGCCACUGCACCUGGCCCAUUAGCAUUUUUUAUCCAGUAUCUGUGUAUCUGCUCUAUACCUAAAUUUAGACAUGUGUGGUAGGUUAACAUUUCAUUUGGUUGAUUUUGGUUAAUAGUUCUGGCCCACUGAUCCUUCUUUGCAUCAUGAAUCUGUUACCCUUUAUCUAUUACCUUUACUAUUAAUUAUUAUUUAGCUUUGUGCACAAGAGCAUUGUUUUCUAGCAUAUACUUAUUUUAACUAUUUUUAGAAGCACUUCGCAUUUUGAAAAGUGAAAAUAACCUAAGUGUUCAUCAAUGGAUGAAUGGAAAAAGAAACUGUGGUACGUAUAUACAAUGGAAUAUUAUACGGCUCUAAAAAAGAAUGGGAUCCUGCCAUCUGUCACAACAUGGAUGAUCCUGGAGGACAUUUUGCUAAGUGAAACAAGUCAGACACAGAAUAACAAAUACUACAUGAUACCGCUUAUAUGAUGAAUCUUUAAAAAAGUCAAAUAUACAGAGACAGAGAAUAAAACAAUGAUUACUGGGGUGAUGGUUGGAGAGUAAAUGGGGAGGUUUAUGUCAGAGGAUACAAAGCAGCAAAUGUGCAUGAUGAACAAGUCUAGAGAUCUAAUGUACAACAUGGGCACUAUAGGUAAUAAAAUUGUACUAUAUGUGAGAUUCAUGCUAAAUGAGUAGAUUUUAGCUGCUUUUGCCACAAAAACAAAAAAUAAUGAAUAACUGUGUGAGAUGAUGGAUAUGUUAAUUUGCUUCACUCUACUAACCUUUUUACUAUCUAUAUGUAUCCUGUAACAUGUUGCAUACCUUAAAUAGAAACAAUAAAAUUUAUUAAAAAAUAAGAAAAGUGGAGAUUGAGAAGUGACCACUAUUUGAGAAGGGGAGGAGGGGCAUGUUUUGGAAUUUAAAAAUAUCUAAAUGUGAAUCUUGUCUUGAUCCUAUUCUUGUUUUUGCAAAAAGUAACAGGUUUCUAACAUGUAAAUCAUUUUGUUUGAAAGGUUGCUUUGAAGUUCAGUGAAAUAAUGUAUAUAAAGUAUUCAGGGAAAACUUUGGCCUGGAGAAGUGGUAUCAAAAGAGAAAGAGCUAUUUUGUGGUCAGCGUGGGUUAGGAAAAGGAGGGCUCAACUUAUAAAAGGGACAAAGAAAGACAAUAUAUGCUCAUACAUAUUACCUUACACAUUUUAGGUUUACAGUUCCAUUUGAAUUACUAAAUUACCUUUCAGCAUUUUAGUUUCCUUUCUUCUAAAAUAA